GUAAUAGCUCACUGGUCGAGUCGGCCCGCGCGGAAGAUGUAACGGGGCUAAACCAUGCACCGAAGCUGCGGCAGCGACACAAAGUGUUGUUGGGUAGGGGAGCGUUCUGUAAGCCUGCGAAGGUGUACUGUGAGGUAUGCUGGAGGUAUCAGAAGUGCGAAUGCUGACAUAAGUAACGAUAAUGCGGGUGAAAAACCCGCACGCCGGAAGACCAAGGGUUCCUGUCCAACGUUAAUCGGGGCAGGGUGAGUCGACCCCUAAGGCGAGGCUGAAAAGCGUAGUCGAUGGGAAACGGGUUAAUAUUCCCGUACUGGUGGUAACUGCGAUGGGGGAACGGAGAAGGCUAGGUUGUCCGGGCGACGGUCGUCCCGGUUCAAGCAGGUAGGCAGAGUGAUUAGGCAAAUCCGGUCACUUAAUGCUGAGAUGUGAUGACGAACCACCAAGGUGGUGAAGCAAUUGAUGCCCCGCUUCC
rnacentral:rRNA from 1 species